UGUGCUGCUUCCUGUAGAUGACUGCUUCUCCUGCCCUUGUUCUUCUGGCCUGGCUUCUCUGUUACCCGUGAAAGUUUCAGAUAUUGGCGAGCCCUCUGACUCUGGUUCCUGUUUUCAGCUCCCUCCUCAGCCUGAGAAAUGCUGCUUCCACACUCACUGAGCAUCUCCUCUGAGCCUGGGUGCUAGGGGUUCAGAUGUAAAUGGGACACAGCCUCUGCCCUCAAGUUGCUCAGAGUACAAUGGAAGAAACAAGACAUGAGGACAAAUCAAAUGGUGAAUGAGGCUGAGUGAUUGCCAUGUGAAUAAAUAGCCUGGGGACACCGAGAGCCCUGGACUGCGGCAUCUACAAGAGCCACGUGCAAUCCCAACUCAGCCAGGCUGGGGAGCCUGGGGAUGUCCACGUGAACCCACAGGAAGCCUGAGUGCACCGUCCGGGUUGGGCUUUCCUUAUUCUGCCCAGGGAGCGUCUAAGGGCUUCUGAAGGGUGACAUGGAGCCUCUUUCUAAGACAGAUUUUCUUCCCAGAGAACAAUCAUAUCCACAGUGAAGAAAACAGGAGCUGUGAGAAUUAGGAGGAGAAGGAAGGAUGCCAAGAUCAGUGCCUACGGGGGUCUAGAACCUGGAUUGCAAACCGUCUCCUGAACCCAGAGACACUGGCCCCCACAUCCCGCAGACUUCCUCCCUGCUGCCUGCUUGCCCUAAACUGACCAUCGGGAGGGAGUUAAUCCACGACUUCUCAUUCUUUCCAGGCAGAAGUAGACUCAACACAGAAAAACAGGGCAAUAAGGCUGAUAUUUAAUGCUGUUUACCAAUUCAGUGUUAUGAUUAAGAGUUCAAGUUUUAGAGACCAUGAAGCCUAAAUUUCAAUCCUCUCCAUGCCACUUACUGAUUGUGUGGGCAACUUAUUCAAGCCAAUUAAUUGUAUUACUACAAAAGUAGCAUCUGUUAAAAUGAAAAAAAUGAAAAAUUACAGAAAUGUUUAACGUAAGAAGUAAAAGAUUCCCUAACUAAAAUUUCUAUUUACACCCCAGGAUAACCAUGGUUGAGGACUUGUUGUGUAAUCUUCCGGUAUUUUUUUCAAUGAAUAUAUUAAAAUUAAAAAAAUAUUUUUCUCAAAUCAUCAUAUACUAUUAUUAUUGUUGAUAUUAUAAUAUCAUUAUUCAGCAUUCUUUUUUCUCUUA